rnacentral:rRNA from 1 species
AGGAUAAACGCUGGCGGCGUGCCUAACGACAUGCAAGUCGAACGCGCUUUCGGGCUUCGGUGCGAGAGCGAGUGGCGGACGGGUGAGUAACACAUGGGUACCUACCUUGGAGUGAGGGAUACCGGCGAGAAAUCGCCGACAAUACCGCAUAGGCUUCUUCACAAGGGAAGCAAAGUGACGCGAGUCACGCUUUGAGAUGGGCCUGUGGCCGAUUAGCUAGUUGGGGGGGUAACGGCUUCCCAAGGCGACGAUCGGUAGCUGGUCUGAGAGGACGAUCAGCCACACUGGGAUUGAGAACGGCCCAGACUCCUACGGGGGGCAGCAGUGAGGAAUUUUCCGCAAUGGAGGCAACUCUGACGGAGCAACGCCGCGUGCAGGAGGAAGGUUUUCGGAUCGUAAACUGCUUUUCUCGGGGACGAGCAAGGACGGUACCCGGAGGAACGAAGCCCCGGCUAACUACGCGCCAGCAGCCGC